CUACAACAGGCUGAUGAAAUGCUGUGGAAAAAGUGUUGCAAGUCAGGCAGAGGCACUAGCACUGAGUUGGAGGAGCCCAAAUGAAUCCUGGCAAUGGUGAAACAUACUUUUUAGCUGACAGCUUGGAAAGGAUAAUUGCCCUGUUAACAUCAUGGUCCUGGAGAGAGGAGGAGUCCAAGAAAACGGAUUGAUUUUUUAAGGAUCACCUUCUC
rnacentral:lncRNA from 1 species